UUAACACAGGAAGGUAGAUAUUAGAGAACUGAUGUCUAAUGGGACUACAGAAACACAUUCAAUAGUUCAUGUUGUCCUUUGCUUUCCUGAUGUCUGGUAAUUUUUGGAUAAAAUGUGGAUUUGGGAGUUUAUCAUUGAAAUGGGAACACAAUACUUACACUGUUAUAAUGACUCUAUAACUGGGCCCACUUUUGUUCCAAAACAAUUGCAAAAUAAUGAAAUUGGAAAACGGAAUUGUUGAGUAAACAUUCAGAAAUAUAUAUAAAGUUCACUAUCAAGGAAUGUAAAAUUGGAAAAUGUAGUAAAAUAUUCAUUCAUUUAAAGGUCUGUAGGAAAAACACUGGCCAUAGGAAACAGAGAAAACCUAGAAAAUUGAUUUGUAUGUCACAGAAAUUGACUGGGAUUAAAAAUAUUAUCUAGAAGAAUCUCUUCCCCUCCAUGUUCCUAAUUUUUUCUACCAGUAACAAGCCCCUGACUAUCUCCAUUCAGAAUAUGUAACCACUAAUGAAGCAAAGAGAAGUCUCUAGGUUUAGAGAGAUGUAUGUAAAGGUUUCCACUGUGUCACAGGAGACACUCCUGGAAAGGGCACCCUCUAAUCUGGUCAAUGUAAGGAAAGCUGUUUAGCAGAUAGGACAAGGCAGUUCUCAGUCACAUCACCAUUAAGACCUCAACGAAAAAUCUCUUGUAACCUGGAGAGUAGUAGAUUCUUCUGUGAUGUCACAAGUGUUGUCGUGACAUUAACUGCCUCUCAGAUAUUCCUUAAGUACCUCUACCUCUAGGGUUUACUAAUUGGCCUAUAAUUCAAAGUAAACAGCCAUUUGUGAGAGAGAAGAUCAAGGAGGAGGGAUAGGGAGAAGGAAGCUGGCCUUCUGUCUUGGUAUAAAAAGAACAAAUAUGUGCUCCUUGGUAAAGCUCAGCUAUGGUGUUGUGAAGACAAGAUACCACAUGUGCAGCUGUGAAUAAGUCUGAGAAGGCUGACUUCUUGGAUUUCUGAAGCAUUACUAAGUGAUCCAGAGGAAAUCAGCACGCCCUGCUCAGCAGAGCUCUGGGAAUGCUGACACUCUUGCUUCAUGUUUAUAUUAACCUAGGUCAAAAGAUCACCUGUCAGACAUGAAGGCUCUGAAGCAAAGUUGCAUCCUGUUGAUCUGUGAAUAAGAUGAAGGAGGCUAUCAACUGGGUCACAUGAAGCAUAUGAAAAGCGUGACAGCAGCAGCUCUCUGCUCCCAGACCCCGUGAGAGAGAGACCCAACUGCCUGGUCAAGUGGGCACUCCUGAGGCUGCAGGGCAGAAGAGACCACCAGCACUGCUCACCCCUGCCCACAUCCCUAGCCCAAGAGGAAACUGUAUAAGGCCUCUGGGCUCCCGUGGAGGAGGGCCCAGGAGCGGCAGGAUCCCUGCGCCUGAGAUACACCAGAACCUGAAGGAAACAGACCGGAUAAAUAGUUCUCUGCACCCAAAUCCCGUGGGAGGGAGAGCUAAACCUUCAGAGAGGCAGACAAGCCUGGGAAACCAGAAGAGACUGCUCUCUGCACACACAUCUUGGACGCCAGAGGAAAAAGCCAAAGACCAUCUGGAACCCUGGUGCACUGAAGCUCCCGGAAGGGGCGGCACAGGUCUUCCUGGUUGCUGCCGCUGCAGAGAGCCCAUGGGCAGCACCCCAUGAGCGAACUUGAGCCUCGGGACCACAGGUAAGACCAAAUUUUCUGCUGCAAGAAAGCUGCCUGGUGAACUCAAGACACAGGUCCACAGGAGCAGCUGAAGACCUGUAGAGAGGAAAAACUAAAAGCCCAAAAGCAGAACAUUCUGUCCCCAUAACUGACUGAAAGAGAGGAAAACAGGUCUACAGCACUCCUGACACACAGGCUUAUAGGACAGUCUAGCCACUGUCAGAAAUAGCAGAACAAAGUAACACUAGAGAUCAUCUGAUGGCGUGAGGCAAGCGCAGGAACCCAAGCAACAGAAACCAAGACUACAUGGCACCAUCGGAGCCCAAUUCUCUCAUCAAAACAAACAUGGAAUAUCCAAACAAACCAGAAAAGCAAGAUCUAGUUUCAAAAUCAUUUUUGAUCAUGAUGCUGGGGGACUUCAAGAAAGAUGUGAAGAACUCCCAUAGAGAACAAGUAGAAGCCUACAGAGAGGAAUCGCAAAAAUGCCUGAAAGAAUUCCAGGAAAACAUAAAUAAACAAGUAAAAGCCCAUAGAGAGGAGACACAAAAAUCCCUGAAAGAAUUCCAGGAAAACAUAAAUAAACACGUAGAAGCCCAUAGAGAGGAGACACAAAAAUCCCUAAAAGAAUUCCAGGAAAACACAAUCAAACAGUUGUAGGAAUUAAAAAUGGAAAUAGAAGCAAUCAAGAAAGAACACAUGGAAACAACCCUGGAUAUAGAAAACCAAAAGAGGAGACAAGGAGCUGUAGAUACAAGCUUCACCAACAGAAUACAAGAGAUGGAAGAGAGAAUCUCAGGAGCAGAAGAUUCCAUAGAAAUCAUUGACUCAACUGUCAAAGAUAAUGUAAA